GCGGAGGGAUCAUUACACAGAUAUGAAGGCGGGCUGGAAUCUCUCGGGGUUACAGCCUUGCUGAAUUAUUCACCCUUGUCUUUUGCGUACUUCUUGUUUCCUUGGUGGGUUCGCCCACCACUAGGACAAACAUAAACCUUUUGUAAUUGCAAUCAGCGUCAGUAACAAAUUAAUAAUUACAACUUUCAACAACGGAUCUCUUGGUUCUGGCA
rnacentral:misc_RNA from 1 species